UGGUUGAUGGACUAAACAUCAACUUGGUUGU
rnacentral:piRNA from 1 species